AGCUUGCUGGGGACUCAUCGACGCUCAUGCUCGAAAGUGCGGGUAGCAAACAGGAUUAGAUACCCUGGUAGUCCGCACCGUAAACGAUGCAUACUGGGUGUCCGCGGUUCGCCGCGGGUACCGAAGCCAACGCGUUAAGUAUGCCGCCUGGGGAGUACGUACGCAAGUAUGAAACUCAAAGGAAUUGACGGGGGCCCGCACAAGCGGUGGAGCAUGUGGUUUAAUUCGAGGCAACGCGCAGAACCUUACCAGGGUUUGACAUGGGAACGCCGCGGCGAGAGAUCGCCGUUUGUAGCAAUACACGUUCCGCACAGGUGCUGCAUGGCUGUCGUCAGCUCGUGUCGUGAGAUGUUGGGUUAAGUCCCGCAACGAGCGCAACCCACGUUUCCAGUUGCCACCCGCAAGGGGGCCCUCUGGAGAGACUGCCGGGGACAACCCGGAGGAAGGUGUGGAUGACGUCAAGUCCUCAUGGCCCUUACAUCCUGGGCUACACACGUGCUACAAUGGUCGGUACAAUGGGUCGCAACGCCGCGAGGCGGAGCCAAUCCUGAAAGCCGGCCUCAGUUCGGAUCGGAGUCUGCAACUCGGCUCCGUGAAGCUG
rnacentral:rRNA from 1 species